UGCAGUCGAGGGGUAUGGUUCUUCGGAACCAGAGACCGGCGCACGGGUGCGUAACGCGUAUGCAAUCUACCUUUUACAGAGGGAUAGCCCAGAGAAAUUUGGAUUAAUACCUCAUAGCAUAGCAGCUUCGCAUGAAGUCACUAUUAAAGUCACAACGGUAAAAGAUGAGCAUGCGUCCCAUUAGCUAGUUGGUAAGGUAACGGCUUACCAAGGCUACGAUGGGUAGGGGUCCUGAGAGGGAGAUCCCCCACACUGGUACUGAGACACGGACCAGACUCCUACGGGAGGCAGCAGUGAGGAAUAUUGGACAAUGGGCGCAAGCCUGAUCCAGCCAUGCCGCGUGCAGGAUGACGGUCCUAUGGAUUGUAAACUGCUUUUAUACGAGAAGAAACACUCCAACGUGUUGGAGCUUGACGGUAUCGUAAGAAUAAGGAUCGGCUAACUCCGUGCCAGCAGCCGCGGUAAUACGGAGGAUCCAAGCGUUAUCCGGAAUCAUUGGGUUUAAAGGGUCCGUAGGCGGUUUAGUAAGUCAGUGGUGAAAGCCCAUCGCUCAACGGUGGAACGGCCAUUGAUACUGCUAAACUUGAAUUAUUAGGAAGUAACUAGAAUAUGUAGUGUAGCGGUGAAAUGCUUAGAGAUUACAUGGAAUACCAAUUGCGAAGGCAGGUUACUACUAAUGGAUUGACGCUGAUGGACGAAAGCGUGGGUAGCGAACAGGAUUAGAUACCCUGGUAGUCCACGCCGUAAACGAUGGAUACUAGCUGUUGGGAGCAAUCUCAGUGGCUAAGCGAAAGUGAUAAGUAUCCCACCUGGGGAGUACGUUCGCAAGAAUGAAACUCAAAGGAAUUGACGGGGGCCCGCACAAGCGGUGGAGCAUGUGGU
rnacentral:rRNA from 1 species